rnacentral:lncRNA from 1 species
ACUUACAUGGGAAAUCUAUUAGGUAAUUUGAGUCAACCAAAAUACGGGCAUUUGAAACAACUUCAUGAUGUUCUUCACUCUAUAGAGAAAACUCUAACAUACGGAAACAUCUCCACCAUUGACUUUGGAAACUCUGCAUCGGUAAUAUUCUUGUUAUUUUUUAUCAGUAUAUUCUUGAAAUAAUUACUUAUCAUGAAAAUAUUACAUAGGCAACAAUUUAUAAAACCGAAGAAGGAUCAAGCUGCUUUUUUGGAAAUGGAAAUGAAAAUUCAGAUGCAACAAUUAGUUUCCAAGGAGAAUCUUACGUUGUCCCGGCUUGGUCUGUUACCAUUUUACCGGAUUGCAAAAAUGAGGCUUAUAACACCGCCAAGGUUUUUUAUUUAAAAUUUUCUUUUGUGGACUUUAAAUUUUCAUACUAACAACCAUUAUUCAUUCAAAGUUGUAACCAAAGUUCAUUUUUUGUUGGUUUUAUAUUUUCAGAUUACCACACAGACUUCAAUGAUGGUUAAGAAACCAAAUGAAGCUGAGGAUACCCCUUCAACUCUGAAAUGGUCAUGGACACCAGAAAACAUGGACAACUUCCUUUUGAAAGGAAAAGGAGAAUCUACACAUACACAACUAUUUGAUCAGAAAGUAGUCACCAAUGACCAAAGUGAUUAUCUAUGGUACAUGACUACCGUUAAGUUUAAAAAACGAGAUCCUUUUGUGGGUAAAACCAUGUCUCUUCGCAUCAACAGUACUGCUCAUGUCCUUCACGCUUUCGUCAAUGGAAAAAAUAUUGGUAAGUAACUCUUAUAUAUGUUUUACAAAUCUCAAUAACACCAACUUACCAAAAAGUCUUUGAUUUAUAUUUGUAGGUAAUCAACACGCUGAGAAUGGAAAAUUUAACUAUGUAUUUGAGAAAGAUGUGAAGUUUAAGUCUGGUCGUAAUGUCAUUGCUCUUCUUAGCAUAACUGUGGGACUUGCGGUAAGUUCUUAGAUAUUCUUUAUCUUGUAUUUAUUUUUAAAGUUAAAUCUCUUAUUUUUUUACAUUUUAACUGAAAAUAAAAAAUUUUGACAAUUUUUUUUUAUAGAACUAUGAUGCUUUCUUUGAAAGUAAGCCGGCUGGAAUCACUGGACCCAUUUUUAUUACUGGAAUAAAUGGUGAUGAAACUAUAGUUAAGGACUUGUCUGCUCAUAAAUGGAGCUACAAAACCGGUUUAAAUGGGUUUGACAACCAACUCUUUAGAACGGAAGCAAUGUCUAAAUGGUCAGUUGAAAAUGUACCGUUUAACCGAACCAUGACUUGGUAUAAGGUAAACAGAUGUUAUUAUAUAUAAGAUAACAAACCAAACACUUGUUGAUUCAAUAUCAAAUCAAAUCAUUCCAUUUUUUCUUUCAGGCUACAUUCAAGUCUCCCUUGGGAAAUGAUCCAGUUGUUGUCGAUCUUAUGGGACUUGGAAAAGGUACAGCUUGGGUCAAUGGAAACAACAUUGGGCGUUAUUGGCCGGCAUUCAUUUCAAGCGAAAAUGGUUGUGAUGCAAAAUGUAAUUAUAGAGGUGCUUAUCAUGCUGAAAAAUGUCUGACCAAUUGUGGAGAACCCACACAAAGAUGGUACAUUUUCCACAUCUUAUUAGGUUCUAGAAUAAAAUAUGUUAAUGUUUAACCUGAGAAAUCUUUACAUGGAUUUUGUUGCUUUGUUAUUUUCUUGAACAGGUACCAUGUUCCUCGUUCUUUCUUGAAUGCAGAAGGAUAUAACACACUAGUUUUGUUUGAAGAGAUGGGAGGAAACCCAUCGCUUGUCAGUUUCCAAACUACUAGAGUAGGAAGUGUUUGUGCUAACGUCUACGAAAAAACAAUUAUUGAGCUUUCAUGCGACAGAAAACCCAUUUCUGCCAUCAAAUUUGCAUCCUUUGGUAACCCAGAUGGCAAUUGUGGAUCUUUUGAAAAAGGAACUUGUGAAUCAAGUAAAAACACGGCCGAUAUUCUCACACAAGAAUGUGUUGGAAAAGAGAAGUGUUCCAUUGAUGUCUCAACAGAAAAGUUUGGUGCACCAGAUUGCAGUGGUGCUCCUAGAAGGCUUGCAGUCGAAGCUAUAUGUUAAAUGGUUUUCUAGAUUUAUGGUGUUUUCUUUAUCAUAUUUCCAAAUUAUGCUAUAUUUUUUUUCAAAGAUUUAAUUCUUUUAAUAUUUAUUGGUGGUUGUUUUAUUCAAUAAAAGAACAUAUUCUUAUAUACAUUUUACACGGUCAUCUUCUUUUCCCAAAACAUUCAUGGUCAUUUCUUCUCCGCCAUCAUCACUCUCUCUGAAAAAUUGAAUAAUUGUUCCCUUCGAUAUUUAUUAUUUUUUUUAAUAUAUAACAAUGACUAAACUGCGUUGGCUCAGUUGGUAAAUAACUAAUUUUAGAGUAAUAAAAUACACGAGUUCAAGUCUUAUUGAGACUUUUUUAUUUUUAUUUUUGUAUUAAAUAAAAUCUUGAGCUUAUAACCAAUCACACAAAAUGAUAGAGGAAAAACAUCACAUUUGAAAGCGUAACAGAGUGUUUUACUUUAAAGAAAUUGUAUAUAAAUACGUGAAGAAUAUAAGACUAUAUCUUAAAUAGUAUAUUAGACUCUCUAUAAAUAGUAUAGUUCGCACAAGUACGAUGUAUAAUUUGUAGUUUAUAGGUUUUAAUUGUUCACAGUAUUCAAUACUUUUUGGCCAUCUUUGAUUUUAAAUAAUAUAACCAAAAUAUGUUAUCAUUUGUAAAUGCUUAGUUUGAUAAUAAGUACAAACCAAUCGAUUCAUAACAAUGAUACAUUAACAAAACAUACCAAAUGUUUAUUUACUGUGCAGCCACAUUUCUAUUCUACUUCGUCAAAUAGAAUGGAAUACUACACAUAACACACUGGAACUGAAUGACAUGAUGUAAAGCCGAUGAAGUAAUUAAGGAGAAGAAUGAGGAGACGAAUGAGAAAAUAUGAUUUGAAGAAGAGCUGGUGCCGGAGUCGAUGAGGACGAAAAGAAACCACCACAAAAGGUGCAGAAGAAAAAGAGACAAGAAGAAAAAGAGACAGUGGGAUGAAGAGACAUGGGUGACGACGGCAGUGGAGAGAAGGUUGUGGCAACGAUGAAACAACCGGUGGUGAUGGUAGUCGCAUCAGGUGGAAUAAUAUAAACAUAAUAUAUAUUAUAUUGCAUUUCAUUUAUAUUCUUUAUGUAUACAAUAGUAUAGAACAUAAAAAAUGUUCGCACUAAGAUGUGGAGGCAGUGGAGAGAAGGUUGUGCAACGAUGAAACAACUGGUGAUGGUGAUAGUUGUUGUGCUGAUCAUAUGGAAUAAUAUAAACAUAAUAUAUAUUGCAUUGCAUUCAUUUCUAUUCUAUAUGUAUACAAUAGUACAGAACAUAUAAAAUAUAAAAUGUUCAUUUUCUCCGGUCAUUUUUACUAACUGUGGCGUGUAUGUAACAGCAGCAAAAAAAAAGGUGUUUUUCUCCAUGUCAAAUACAUAGGAUGUGGAGGAAGUGAGUCCUAGAAUGUGAAUAAAAAAAAGAGGAAGAAAGUGAGGGGUUUGUGCUUUCAAAUUUGCUAAACACUAGUAGCGUGAAUGUUAGGAAAUUGGCAACACAAUAUUCGUUUCAAAUCAACUCUGGUGCGUCUAAAGCGUACGUCCAAUGAAUAGAUAUAUCAAACUGUAUUCAUUUCUACAGUAUCACACCAACCUAAUUCAAAAUUGCGAUACCAAGCGAUGAGAAAGUAAGUUACACAACAAUAGUACAAGAAUUUAAACGUUUCUUUUCCUAUUUUGUUGUUAACUUAAUAUGGUUUUUUUAUCAGGGGGUAACAAUCUAAAGCAACUUCUUAUGGAACUGUAAAUGAUCAUGGUUUAAUUAUCAUGAAUCACGGAGAAUGGUUUGAGAUUAAUAGUUUCAAACUAAUGCACGCAUCUGGGAUUACACAAGGACGACUAGAAAAAGAUACCAUCUUCUCCUAGACAAAAAUACACUUGACUUACCAGAUUCCACCAACAGCCUGCUGCAACUAAGUUGACAUUAAGACUAAUUGUAUGGGAUACAUGAUAUUUUUCAUUUCAUUUGUGUUUUUAUUUUCUGAAUAAUUUGUUGAUGUUUUCUAUUUUAACGAUUCUGGCUUUUUUGUAACCUUCCAUCUGCCAGUUUAAUUGAUGAAUUGUCUACUUCAAGUAAUUUUCGCAGAAAUAAAUUAUAUUCAUGUAUUAUUUUUAGUUUUGUAUGAUUCAAAGUUGAAGAAGAACUUUGAAUAAUAAACUAAUCUAACCACACCAAAAAUUCCAUCAAAUUACAGCAGCACAUAUAAAUCUGGAAGACAAACCUGCGAUUGGUUUAUAUAUAUCAGCUUGAAAGGCAUAAUAUUUGGUUCUGUCAGUUCUCGGAUCAUCAGUGACGAAGUACUGCUCGGCUUUUGAAGUCCUUGGAGCUUGAGCUAUCGAGUAAUUGUUGUCGGAGUUUUAGAGGAAUCACUGUACAUAUGAAACUUCAUCUUGAAUCGAAAGAGGAGAAUUGUGGGAUUGUUUUGAUCGAUUGAAAGGGAUCAGAUCGAAUUUUGAUUAAUCCACCGAAACAUUAAAAAAUAUUGAAAGCGUUUAGAUACGAUGUAGCCUUAUUUGGUGCAGAAUCAUUUUAUGUUUUGGGUUGUUACUCACCUGCCCCAAUUGUUUUUUUUUUUUUUUUUCCGUCGAAAAGUUUUUAAUAUUAAAAACAGGCCAAGCCCAAUACAAAUAACAAACAUACAAAUUGCAAACUCG